rnacentral:lncRNA from 1 species
CAUCAUCGCUCAACUCCUUGGAUCCAUCGUCGCCUCCGCACUCCUCGUCUUUGUCACCGCAUCGGUAUGACUGAUAAUUUUUAUAACUAAAUAUAACGUUAGUUAUAGAAGUUAGUUACUUCUUCAAAAUACAGUUAUUUGUUAUAUUUAUUUUUUAUUUUUAAGAAACUUUAGAUUUAAUUAACUAGAGUUUUGUUACCGUGUAUCGCAGUCUGUGCCAGCAUUCGCUCUAUCCGCAGGAGUUGGAGUGGGUCCCGCUUUGGUGUUGGAGAUUGUGAUGACUUUCGGUUUGGUGUACACUGUGUACGCUACAGCCGUUGACCCAAAGAAGGGUAAUAUUGGAAUUAUCGCACCUAUUGCUAUUGGUUUCAUCGUUGGUGCUAACAUUUUGGUUGGUGGAGCCUUCACCGGAGCAUCCAUGAACCCCGCCGUGUCAUUCGGGCCUGCUGUGGUGAGCUGGAGCUGGGCCAACCACUGGAUCUACUGGGCCGGCCCACUUAUCGGUGGUGGGCUUGCUGGGCUUAUCUAUGAGGUUCUCUUCAUUAACAGCACCCAUGAGCAGCUUCCAACCACUGACUACUAGAUGGGAAGUGAAAAUGGAACUGAAAUUUGAAAUUGUGUAUUAUUGAAUUUUCUUCUGUGCAUGUUUUUAUUUUCUUGUGUACUUUUUUUAAUUUACCACUAUUUGGAGGGUUGUUUCUUUUGUGCUGAAAAAUGGUGGCCGUUGAUGUUUGGUUGUACGGUUGGUGAUGAUGAAUGGUUAAAUUAUUUUGUACAUGUAUGGCCUAGUAGGUUCUUUGCAGCGGGUCCCACCACUUAAUCAAUGUUAUAAUUUCGGGUAUGGUUGAUUGUAUCAUUCAACUUUUUUUUUUUUUACCAUAGUUAAUGCGAUUCUCCUUUUUAUUUGAA